rnacentral:rRNA from 1 species
GUCGAGCGAUGAAGCACCUUCGGGUGUGAAUUAGCGGCGAACGGGUGAGGAACACGUGAAGAAUCUGCCUUCAACUCUGGGAUAACUCCGGGAAACCGGGGCUAAUACCGGAUAUGAGCCUUGAUCGCAUGAUCGGGGCUGGAAAGUUUUUCGGUUGAAGAUGACUUCGCGGCCUAUCAGCUUGUUGGUGAGGUAAUGGCUCACCAAGGCGACGACGGGUAGCCGGCCUGAGAGGGCGACCGGCCACACUGGGACUGAGACACGGCCCAGACUCCUACGGGAGGCAGCAGUGGGGAAUAUUGGGCAAUGGAGGAAACUCUGACCCAGCGACGCCGCGUGAGGGAUGAAGGCCUUCGGGUUGUAAACCUCUUUCAGUAGGGAAGAAGCGAAAGUGACGGUACCUACAGAAGAAGCACCGGCUAACUAUGUGCCAGCAGCCGCGGUAAUACAUAGGGUGCAAGCGUUGUCCGGAAUUAUUGGGCGUAAAGAGCUCGUAGGUGGUUCGAUACGUCGGAUGUGAAAAUCAGGGGCUCAACCCCUGACCUGCAUCCGAUACGGUCGAGCUAGAGUUUGGUAGGGGAGACUGGAAUUCCUGGUGUAGCGGUGGAAUGCGCAGAUAUCAGGAGGAACACCGAUGGCGAAGGCAGGUCUCUGGGCCAAUACUGACACUGAGGAGCGAAAGCGUGGGGAGCGAACAGGAUUAGAUACCCUGGUAGUCCACGCCGUAAACGGUGGGCGCUAGUUGUGCGAACCUUCCACGGUUUGUGCGACGCAGCUAACGCAUUAAGCGCCCCGCCUGGGGAGUACGAUCGCAAGAUUAAAACUCAAAUGAAUUG